rnacentral:rRNA from 1 species
CUCUUCGGCGGUUAGCGGCGGACGGGUGAGUAACACGUAGGCAACCUGCCUGUACGACUGGGAUAACUCCGGGAAACCGGAGCUAAUACCGGAUACGUUUUUCAGACCGCAUGGUCUGAAAGAGAAAGACCUUUGGUCACGUACAGAUGGGCCUGCGGCGCAUUAGCUAGUUGGUGGGGUAACGGCCUACCAAGGCGACGAUGCGUAGCCGACCUGAGAGGGUGAUCGGCCACACUGGGACUGAGACACGGCCCAGACUCCUACGGGAGGCAGCAGUAGGGAAUCUUCCGCAAUGGACGAAAGUCUGACGGAGCAACGCCGCGUGAACGAUGAAGGUUUUCGGAUCGUAAAGUUCUGUUGUUAGGGAAGAACCGCCGGGAUGACCUCCCGGUCUGACGGUACCUAACGAGAAAGCCCCGGCUAACUACGUGCCAGCAGCCGCGGUAAUACGUAGGGGGCAAGCGUUGUCCGGAAUUAUUGGGCGUAAAGCGCGCGCAGGCGGCUUCUUAAGUCAGGUGUGAAAGCCCACGGCUCAACCGUGGAGGGCCACUUGAAACUGGGAGGCUUGAGUGCAGGAGAGGAGAGCGGAAUUCCACGUGUAGCGGUGAAAUGCGUAGAGAUGUGGAGGAACACCCGUGGCGAAGGCGGCUCUCUGGCCUGUAACUGACGCUGAGGCGCG